UACGUAGGGGGCAAGCGUUGUCCGGAUUUAUUGGGCGUAAAGAGCGUGUAGGCGGCUAUACAGGUCCGUUGUGAAAACUCGAGGCUCAACCUCGAGACGCCGAUGGAAACCGUAUGGCUAGAGUCCGGAAGAGGAGAGUGGAAUUCCUGGUGUAGCGGUGAAAUGCGCAGAUAUCAGGAAGAACACCCGUGGCUAAGGCGGCUCUCUAGUACGGUACUGACGCUGAGACGCGAAAGCGUGGGGAGCGAACAGG
rnacentral:rRNA from 1 species